CACUGGAUAGCUCAGCUGGGUAGAGCAACGGACUUGUAAUCCGUCAGUCGCGGGUUCGAAUCCCGCUCCACGCU
rnacentral:tRNA from 2 species